GGGCCCGUGGCCUAGUUGGAAAGGCGUCGGCCUCCGGAGCCGGAGAUCCCGGGUUCGAAUCCCGGCGGGCCCG
rnacentral:tRNA from 1 species